GGAAUUUUCCGCAAUGGGCGAAAGCCUGACGGAGCAACGCCGCGUGAGGGAUGAAGGCCUCUGGGCUGUAAACCUCUUUUAUCAAGGAAGAAGAUCUGACGGUACUUGAUGAAUAAGCCACGGCUAAUUCCGUGCCAGCAGCCGCGGUAAUACGGGAGUGGCAAGCGUUAUCCGGAAUUAUUGGGCGUAAAGCGUCCGCAGGCGGUCUGUCAAGUCUGCUGUUAAAGCGUGGAGCUUAACUCCAUUUCGGCAGUGGAAACUGACAGACUAGAGUGUGGUAGGGGCAGAGGGAAUUCCCGGUGUAGCGGUGAAAUGCGUAGAUAUCGGGAAGAACACCAGUGGCGAAAGCGCUCUACUGGACCAUUACUGACACUGAGAGGCGAAAGCUAGGGUAGCAAAAGGGAUUAGAUACCCCUGUAGUC
rnacentral:rRNA from 1 species